AUUAACAUGUCAAUGACAGAUGAGUGGAAGUUUUAACAAGUUAGAAUGCCUUCUCAUUGUUUUAAAUGUUAUACUGCUUCAGAAUCAUAGUGAAUGGAACACUGGCAAUUUUAAUGGCGUUAAUGGUAGAGAGAACAUGCGCCUAGAGGACAGCAUUUAAUGUAAACAAAAUGUUGAUGGUCUUUUAAUAUCCUGACAUCAGUUACCCCAAGUGGUGCUACCACAGAGAUGUGUAUAAGCAUGCUACCAUAAUCUCAAAAGAUAAUAGUUACAUACGUUAAAAAGGGGAAAAUGAUGAUUGGGUAGGUAACCACACAUAAAACCUUUCUGAUUUCAGGUAACUAUGGUGGUGGUGGGAACUAUAAUGAUUUUGGAAAUUAUAGUGGACAACAGCAAUCAAAUUAUGGACCCAUGAAAGGGGGCAGUUUUGGUGGAAGAAGCUCGGGCAGUCCCUAUGGUGGUGGUUAUGGAUCUGGUGGUGGAAGUGGUGGAUAUGGUAGCAGAAGGUUCUAAAAACAGCAGAAAAGGGCUACAGUUCUUA
rnacentral:lncRNA from 1 species